GAGACCAUAUGGCCCACAAAGCCUGAAGUAUUUACUAUUUCAUGCCUAUAGAAAAAGUUUGCUGACCCCUGACCUAGAUAGUCUGGGUACGGCCUUAUAAUGCAGGGACUAGCAGCAGGGACCAGGCAUCACCCGGGAGCUUGUUAAAAAUACAAAACACCAGACACCACCCCAGAUCUACUGAAUUAUAAUCUGUGUUUUAAUAAGAUCCCCCAAGUAAUUCACAUACACAUUAAAAUGUGAUAGUGACUGGCUUGGGAAAGCAGUGGGAGAGAGGAAGACACUGAGCCUUGUCCCUCGAAUGCAGUGUAGCCCUCUUGGAUAUUGGUCUUGUCUCAACCAGCAGAAUCACUUCUCCUAGUGAGGAGUGAGGAACCGGUGAAGCAGGGGGCUUGAAUUGUGCAUGCCAGGAC
rnacentral:lncRNA from 1 species